rnacentral:rRNA from 1 species
UACGAAGGGGGCUAGCGUUGCUCGGAAUCACUGGGCGUAAAGGGCGCGUAGGCGGCCAUUCAAGUCAGGGGUGAAAGCCUGUGGCUCAACCACAGAAUUGCCUUUGAUACUGUUUGGCUAGAGACCGGAAGAGGUAAGUGGAACUGCGAGUGUAGAGGUGAAAUUCGUAGAUAUUCGCAAGAACACCAGUGGCGAAGGCGGCUUACUGGACCAUAACUGACGCUGAUGCACGAAAGCUAGGGGAGCAAACAGG